AAAACGGCUCUUUUUAGAGCCACCCCAUUUUUAAAAGGAGGCUCAAU
rfam:Ciona savignyi cont_60720, whole genome shotgun sequence.